GGGUUGUGAGGUUAAGCGACUAAGCGUACACGGUGGAUGCCCUGGCAGUCAGAGGCGAUGAAGGACGUGCUAAUCUGCGAAAAGCGCCGGCGAGGUGAUAUGAACCUUUGACCCGGCGAUGUCCGAAUGGGGAAACCCAGUGUGUUCCGACACACUAUCGUUAACUGAAUACAUAGGUUAACGAGGCGAACCGGGGGAACUGAAACAUCUAAGUACCCCGAGGAAAAGAAAUCAACCGAGAUUCCCCCAGUAGCGGCGAGCGAACGGGGAGCAGCCCAGAGUCUGAAUCAGCUUGUGUGUUAGUGGAAGCGUCUGGAAAGUCGCACGGUACAGGGUGACAGUCCCGUACACGAAAAUGCACAGGUUGUGAACUCGAAGAGUAGGGCGGGACACGUGGUAUCCUGUCUGAAUAUGGGGGGACCAUCCUCCAAGGCUAAAUACUCCUGACUGACCGAUAGUGAACCAGUACCGUGAGGGAAAGGCGAAAAGAACCCCGGCGAGGGGAGUGAAAAAGAACCUGAAACCGUGUACGUACAAGCAGUGGGAGCACCUUCGGGUGUGACUGCGUACCUUUUGUAUAAUGGGUCAGCGACUUAUAUUCUGUAGCAAGGUUAACCGUAUAGGGGAGCCGAAGGGAAACCGAGUCUUAACUGGGCGUUAAGUUGCAGGGUAUAGACCCGAAACCCGGUGAUCUAGCCAUGGGCAGGUUGAAGGUUGGGUAACACUAACUGGAGGACCGAACCGACUAAUGUUGAAAAAUUAGCGGAUGACUUGUGGCUGGGGGUGAAAGGCCAAUCAAACCGGGAGAUAGCUGGUUCUCCCCGAAAGCUAUUUAGGUAGCGCCUCGUGAACUCAUCUUCGGGGGUAGAGCACUGUUUCGGCUAGGGGGCCAUCCCGGCUUACCAACCCGAUGCAAACUACGAAUACCGAAGAAUGUUAUCACGGGAGACACACGGCGGGUGCUAACGUCCGUCGUGAAGAGGGAAACAACCCAGACCGCCAGCUAAGGUCCCAAAGUCAUGGUUAAGUGGGAAACGAUGUGGGAAGGCACAGACAGCCAGGAUGUUGGCUUAGAAGCAGCCAUCAUUUAAAGAAAGCGUAAUAGCUCACUGGUCGAGUCGGCCUGCGCGGAAGAUGUAACGGGGCUAAACCAUGCACCGAAGCUGCGGCAGCGACACUAUGUGUUGUUGGGUAGGGGAGCGUUCUGUAAGCCGUUGAAGGUGUGCUGUGAGGCAUGCUGGAGGUAUCAGAAGUGCGAAUGCUGACAUAAGUAACGAUAAAGCGGGUGAAAAGCCCGCUCGCCGGAAGACCAAGGGUUCCUGUCCAACGUUAAUCGGGGCAGGGUGAGUCGACCCCUAAGGCGAGGCCGAAAGGCGUAGUCGAUGGGAAACAGGUUAAUAUUCCUGUACUUGGUGUUACUGCGAAGGGGGGACGGAGAAGGCUAUGUUAGCCGGGCGACGGUUGUCCCGGUUUAAGCAUGUAGGCGGAACGAUUAGGUAAAUCCGGUCGUUUAUUAACGCUGAGGUGUGAUGACGAGGCACUACGGUGCUGAAGUAACAAAUGCCCUGCUUCCAGGAAAAGCCUCUAAGCAUCAGGUAACAUUAAAUCGUACCCCAAACCGACACAGGUGGUCAGGUAGAGAAUACCAAGGCGCUUGAGAGAACUCGGGUGAAGGAACUAGGCAAAAUGGUGCCGUAACUUCGGGAGAAGGCACGCUGAUAUGUAGGUGAAGCCCCUGCGGGUGGAGCUGAAAUCAGUCGAAGAUACCAGCUGGCUGCAACUGUUUAUUAAAAACACAGCACUGUGCAAACACGAAAGUGGACGUAUACGGUGUGACGCCUGCCCGGUGCCGGAAGGUUAAUUGAUGGGGUUAGCGGCAACGCGAAGCUCUUGAUCGAAGCCCCGGUAAACGGCGGCCGUAACUAUAACGGUCCUAAGGUAGCGAAAUUCCUUGUCGGGUAAGUUCCGACCUGCACGAAUGGCGUAAUGAUGGCCAGGCUGUCUCCACCCGAGACUCAGUGAAAUUGAACUCGCUGUGAAGAUGCAGUGUACCCGCGGCAAGACGGAAAGACCCCGUGAACCUUUACUAUAGCUUGACACUGAACACUGGUCCUUGAUGUGUAGGAUAGGUGGGAGGCUUUGAAGUGUGGACGCCAGUCUGCAUGGAGCCGUCCUUGAAAUACCACCCUUUAAUGGCUGGUGUUCUAACGUAGACCCGUGAUCCGGGUUGCGGACAGUGUCUGGUGGGUAGUUUGACUGGGGCGGUCUCCUCCCAAAGAGUAACGGAGGAGCACGAAGGUUAGCUAAUCCUGGUCGGACAUCAGGAGGUUAGUGCAAUGGCAUAAGCUAGCUUGACUGCGAGAGUGACGGCUCGAGCAGGUGCGAAAGCAGGUCAUAGUGAUCCGGUGGUUCUGAAUGGAAGGGCCAUCGCUCAACGGAUAAAAGGUACUCCGGGGAUAACAGGCUGAUACCGCCCAAGAGUUCAUAUCGACGGCGGUGUUUGGCACCUCGAUGUCGGCUCAUCACAUCCUGGGGCUGAAGUAGGUCCCAAGGGUAUGGCUGUUCGCCAUUUAAAGUGGUACGCGAGCUGGGUUUAGAACGUCGUGAGACAGUUCGGUCCCUAUCUGCCGUGGGCGCUGGAGAAUUGAGGGGGGCUGCUCCUAGUACGAGAGGACCGGAGUGGACGCAUCACUGGUGUUCGGGUUGUCAUGCCAAUGGCACUGCCCGGUAGCUAAAUGCGGAAAAGAUAAGUGCUGAAAGCAUCUAAGCACGAAACUUGCCCCGAGAUGAGUUCUCCCUGAGACUUUAAGUCUCCUGAAGGAACGUUGAAGACGACGACGUUGAUAGGUCGGGUGUGUAAGCGCAGCGAUGCGUUGAGCUAACCGAUACUAAUGAACCGUGAGGCUUAACCUUACAACGCCGAAG
rnacentral:rRNA from 1 species